rnacentral:rRNA from 2 species
UGGGGAAUAUUGGACAAUGGGCGCAAGCCUGAUCCAGCCAUGCCGCGUGAGUGAUGAAGGCCCUAGGGUUGUAAAGCUCUUUCACCGGUGAAGAUAAUGACGGUAACCGGAGAAGAAGCCCCGGCUAACUUCGUGCCAGCAGCCGCGGUAUUACGAAGGGGGCUAGCGUUGUUCGGAUUUACUGGGCGUAAAGCGCACGUAGGCGGACUUUUAAGUCAGGGGUGAAAUCCCGGGGCUCAACCCCGGAACUGCCUUUGAUACUGGAAGUCUUGAGUAUGGUAGAGGUGAGUGGAAUUCCGAGUGUAGAGGUGAAAUUCGUAGAUAUUCGGAGGAACACCAGUGGCGAAGGCGGCUCACUGGACCAUUACUGACGCUGAGGUGCGAAAGCGUGGGGAGCAAACAGG